CAGAUGAACUAGGGCAAACUCCGCAGCACGUCGUCGGAGAUGGAGAAGAGAAACAAGUUACAGGUAGCCGACAAGGUAAGUGGCCCCUCCGGUGACGGAGGGAACAGGAGGUGGGAGGACCUGGGCAGCGAACUCUUGGUGGCGAUCUUCUCGCGGAUCGGAGUAGAAGAUCUGAUAGCCGGCUUGCCCUAUGUGUGCUCAUCGUGGCGGAGCGCUGUGCGGGAUCCAUUUUGCUGGCGUGUUCUGGACUUCCGGUCUUGGGACACCAUUUCUUCUCGCCUCGGCUGCCGGCGCGAUGAAGCUGUCGACUUCGCUGAUCUAUUCAAUUUCGCUAUUUCCCGAAGUGUGGGACGCAUCGAUUGUGUUUACUUCCCAAGCUUUUCCGAUGAGACCAAUCUUGAAUACCUUGCAAACAGGUGUCCAAUGCUUCAAUAUUUCAGCAUGGAGAAUCCUGAUGUAUCUGAAACUGAAUUUUGCAAAACCAUCAGUAAACUCAAAUUUCUUAAGGGAAUGGCUGUGGAUGAGAAUUUAAUCUGUCAUCAGGUCCUUCAACAUGUCAACCAAUGUUCUAGUAACUUUAUCGAGUUGAAGGUCUUUUCUGAUACCAUGGAUAAACAAUUGGCUUCUAUCAUUUGUGACUGUCUACCACACCUUCAAAAGCUUGAGAUCACUGAAUGCAUAAUGUCAAGAGGUGCUAUCCUUACUCUACUUGAUGGGUUGAAGAAGCUUGAAUUCCUUGAUGUCUCUGGAUAUGCAAUAUCUGGCAUCACUAAUGAGGUUAUUGAAAAGGCUUCACAUCUUAAGGUUUUUCGGUGGGAUUCUAAGUAUGGUAAGUAUGGUUUUGGUGUAUUUGAGUAUUGUCAUCAUUGUGAGGACGACUAUUUUCAUCUGUCACCUUGUGAAUGUGUGCUGCAUCAACAGCUCAUGGGGUGGCUAGCAACCCUUCCUUGAGAUGGUUCAUUUCAUGUGGUUGAACUUUCUACUGCUGUACUGGUCUCAGGGUAUGAGUUUUUUGUUGGGCUAUUCUGUCUAUGCUUGUUAUUCAAGAAUGCGCUUCGCAUGCCCUAGCCAAGAAAUUAUGUUUGCUUGUCUUUAGAGUGACGCUCAAGUUAGAAGCAUGAGUUAAAAAGGAAUCAUUCUAGUUGUACUGAAAAGGAAUAUCCUAUAGGAUUCCUAGGCUUUCAAUGAUUUUUCCAUGACUUAUAAAAUGGCAACAUUUUUAAUGAAGGAAAAUGCAAACAUUGGGACAUUCUUAUCACUUAAGUGGAUGGUAUAUUUGACAUUAGCAAAAGUAUUUAUUUAUUUAUU